rnacentral:misc_RNA from 1 species
UCCGGCUUAACGCCGGCGGUCUCCCUAGAGUGCCCAACUUAAUGAUGGCAACAAGGGACGUGGGUUGCGCUCGUUGCGGGACUUAACCCAACAUCUCACGACACGAGCUGACGACAGCCAUGCAGCACCUGUCUACCAGUCCCCGAAGGGAAAGGCCUGUUUCCAGGUCCCGUCCGGUAGAUGUCAAGACCAGGAUAAGGUUCUUCGCGUUGCGUCGAAUUAAACCACAUGCUCCACUGCUUGUGCGGGUCCCCGUCAAUUUCUUUGAGUUUUAAUAUUGCGACCGUACUCCCCAGGCGGGGUGCUUAACGCGUUAGCUCCGUCACUGAAAGGGUUAACACUUCCAACGACAAGCACCCAUCGUUUACGGCGUGGACUAC